rnacentral:sRNA from 1 species
GAAGAGGCGAUGGCGGCGAUGGCGGCGAUGGCAUCCCUCGGCGCCCUGGCGCUGCUCCUGCUGUCCAGCCUCUCCCGCUGCUCAGGGAUCUGCCUCUUGUGGUCCAGACCCAGAGCCGUCUCUGACGUCCUCUGCUGAAGCCAUCGUUCUGCCGGGGCACCACAUUUGGACAGCGGGUGGCUGGGAACGUUCCCACUUUGGGGAGCCUUUGUUUCACACCCUCUGACAUAGGCGGCAGCCUUCCUUUCCUUUGGGCCUCUGUGGUUACGGAGAAGGAGAAGGAGAAGGCUAAGGCAAGGCCUGCCUGGAGCCCCAGAUCACCCCUUCCUACUACACCACUUCUGACGCUGUCAUUUCCACCGAGACCGUCUUCAUUGUGGAGAUCUCCCUGACAUGCAAGAACAGGGUCCAGAACAUGGCUCUCUAUGCCGACGUCGGUGGAAAACAAUUCCCUGUCACUCGAGGCCAGGACGUGGGGCGUUAUCAGGUGUCCUGGAGCCUGGACCACAAGAGUGCCCACGCAGGCACCUAUGAGGUCAGAUUCUUCGACGAGGAGUCCUACAGCCUCCUCAGGAAGGCUCAGAGGAAUAACGAGGACAUUUCCAUCAUCCCGCCUCUGUUCACAGUCAGCGUGGACCAUCGGGGCACUUGGAACGGGCCCUGGGUGUCCACUGAGGUGCUGGCUGCGGCGAUUGGCCUUGUGAUCUACUACUUGGCCUUCAGCGCGAAGAGCCACAUCCAGGCCUGAGGGCGGCACCCCAGCCCUGCCCUUGCUUCCUUCAAUAAACAUCACAGGACCUGGGACUGC